GAUGAACGCUAGCUACAGGCUUAACACAUGCAAGUCGCGGGGCAGCAUGGGGGUUGCUUGCAACCCCUGAUGGCGACCGGCGCACGGGUGAGUAACGCGUAUCCAACCUGCCCUUCACCACGGGAUAACCCGGCGAAAGUCGGACUAAUACCGUAUGGUGUCCAUUGACGGCAUCCGAUUUGGACGAAAGGCGGGGCGGUGGAAGGAGGGGGAUGCGUCCGGUUAGCUUGACGGCGGGGUAACGGCCCACCGUGGCUACGAUCGGUAGGGGUUCUGAGAGGAAGGUCCCCCACACUGGAACUGAGACACGGUCCAGACUCCUACGGGAGGCAGCAGUGAGGAAUAUUGGUCAAUGGGCGUAAGCCUGAACCAGCCAAGUAGCGUGCAGGAUGACGGCCCUAUGGGUUGUAAACUGCUUUUAUGCGGGGAUAAAGUGGCCCACGGGUGGGCUUUUGCAGGUACCGCAUGAAUAAGGACCGGCUAAUUCCGUG
rnacentral:rRNA from 1 species